rnacentral:rRNA from 1 species
UGACGAGUGGCGGACGGGUGAGUAAUGUCUGGGAAACUGCCUGAUGGAGGGGGAUAACUACUGGAAACGGUGGCUAAUACCGCAUAACGUCGCAAGACCAAAGAGGGGGACCUUCGGGCCUCUUGCCAUCAGAUGUGCCCAGAUGGGAUUAGCUAGUUGGUGAGGUAACGGCUCACCAAGGCGACGAUCCCUAGCUGGUCUGAGAGGAUGACCAGCCACACUGGAACUGAGACACGGUCCAGACUCCUACGGGAGGCAGCAGUGGGGAAUAUUGCACAAUGGGCGCAAGCCUGAUGCAGCCAUGCCGCGUGUAUGAAGAAGGCCUUCGGGUUGUAAAGUACUUUCAGCGGGGAGGAAGGGAGUAAGGUUAAUAACCUUAUUCAUUGACGUUACCCGCAGAAGAAGCACCGGCUAACUCCGUGCCAGCAGCCGCGGUAAUACGGAGGGUGCAAGCGUUAAUCGGAAUUACUGGGCGUAAAGCGCACGCAGGCGGUCUGUCAAGUCGGAUGUGAAAUCCCCGGGCUCAACCUGGGAACUGCAUUCGAAACUGGCAGGCUUGAGUCUUGUAGAGGGGGGUAGAAUUCCAGGUGUAGCGGUGAAAUGCGUAGAGAUCUGGAGGAAUACCGGUGGCGAAGGCGGCCCCCUGGACAAAGACUGACGCUCAGGUGCGAAAGCGUGGGGAGCAAACAGGAUUAGAUACCCUGGUAGUCCACGCCGUAAACGAUGUCUACUUGGAGGUUGUGCCCUUGAGGCGUGGCUUCCGGAGCUAACGCGUUAAGUAGACCGCCUGGGGAGUACGGCCGCAAGGUUAAAACUCAAAUGAAUUGACGGGGGCCCGCACAAGCGGUGGAGCAUGUGGUUUAAUUCGAUGCAACGCGAAGAACCUUACCUGGUCUUGACAUCCACAGAACUUUCCAGAGAUGGAUUGGUGCCUUCGGGAACUGUGAGACAGGUGCUGCAUGGCUGUCGUCAGCUCGUGUUGUGAAAUGUUGGGUUAAGUCCCGCAACGAGCGCAACCCUUAUCCUUUGUUGCCAGCGGUCCGGCCGGGAACUCAAAGGAGACUGCCAGUGAUAAACUGGAGGAAGGUGGGGAUGACGUCAAGUCAUCAUGGCCCUUACGACCAGGGCUACACACGUGCUACAAUGGCGCAUACAAAGAGAAGCGACCUCGCGAGAGCAAGCGGACCUCAUAAAGUGCGUCGUAGUCCGGAUUGGAGUCUGCAACUCGACUCCAUGAAGUCGGAAUCGCUAGUAAUCGUGGAUCAGAAUGCCACGGUGAAUACGUUCCCGGGCCUUGUACACACCGCCCGUCACACCAUGGGAGUGGGUUGCAAAAGAAGUAGGUAGCUUAACCUUCGGGAGGGCGCUUACCACUUUGUGAUUCAUGACUGGGGUGAAGUCGUAACAAGGUAACCGUAGGGGAACCUGCGGUUGGAUCACCUCCUUA